UUUGACUCCGUGCCCCUCCACAAUGUCAACUUGUUCAGCUGCUGCAGCUUGGACAGAGACACCAACAUCACUUUACAGACCAACAGGUGUCACCACUUCGUCUCAACAUCGUCCACGAUCGCAGAGACAUGGUCCAUGAUCGGAGAGGCAUUGUUGAGGAUGAGGGAGACAUCGUCCACGAUCAGAGACAUUGUCCACGAUCGCAGAGACCUUGUCAAAGACGAGAGAGACGUUGUCCAUGAUCAGAGACAUUGUCCCAUGCUUCGCAGAGCUCUGCGCAAGAGUCGGUAGUGACACUGUGGUUCCUCGAUUCGACGGCAUGACCGCGAUCAUGGAAACAUUUGUCAAUGAUCACAGAGACACCGUCUAUGAUCUCAGAGACAUCGUCCACGAUCAUAAAGACAUUGUCCAUGAUCACAGAGACUUUGUCCAUAAUCUCAGAGACAUUGUCCGCGGUCACAGAGACGUAGUCCACGAUCACAGAGAGUGUUCGUACAAUGAAGGAGUUCUUUGAGACCAGGACAGAGGCCUCCAGGUGUCACCACUUCGUCUCAACAUCGUCCACGAUCGCAGAGACAUGGUCCAUGAUCGGAGAGGCAUUGUUGAGGAUGAGGGAGACAUCGUCCACGAUCAGAGACAUUGUCCACGAUCGCAGAGACCUUGUCAAAGACGAGAGAGACGUUGUCCAUGAUCAGAGACAUUGUCCCAUGCUUCGCAGAGCUCUGCGCAAGAGUCGGUAGUGACACUGUGGUUCCUCGAUUCGACGGCAUGACCGCGAUCAUGGAAACAUUUGUCAAUGAUCACAGAGACACCGUCUAUGAUCUCAGAGACAUCGUCCACGAUCAUAAAGACAUUGUCCAUGAUCACAGAGACUUUGUCCAUAAUCUCAGAGACAUUGUCCGCGGUCACAGAGACGUAGUCCACGAUCACAGAGAGUGUUCGUACAAUGAAGGAGUUCUUUGAGACCAGGACAGAGGCCUCCAGGUGUCACCACUUCGUCUCAACAUCGUCCACGAUCGCAGAGACAUGGUCCAUGAUCGGAGAGGCAUUGUUGAGGAUGAGGGAGACAUCGUCCACGAUCAGAGACAUUGUCCACGAUCGCAGAGACCUUGUCAAAGACGAGAGAGACGUUGUCCAUGAUCAGAGACAUUGUCCCAUGCUUCGCAGAGCUCUGCGCAAGAGUCGGUAGUGACACUGUGGUUCCUCGAUUCGACGGCAUGACCGCGAUCAUGGAAACAUUUGUCAAUGAUCACAGAGACACCGUCUAUGAUCUCAGAGACAUCGUCCACGAUCAUAAAGACAUUGUCCAUGAUCACAGAGACUUUGUCCAUAAUCUCAGAGACAUUGUCCGCGGUCACAGAGACGUAGUCCACAAUCGCUGAGAUGUCGUCCACGAUCGCAGAGACAUGGUCCACGAUCGGAGAGACAUUGUUGAGGAUGAGGGAGACAUUGUUCACGAUCAGAGACAUUGUCCAUGACUCGUGGUGACUUGGUCCCCGAUAAGUCGGCACUGCUGGCGUUCAUAGAGACAUUGUCGACGAUCGCAGAGACAUUGUCCAUAAUCUCAGAGACAUUGUCCGCGAUCACAGAGACGUAGUCCACGAUCACAGAGUCUUUGUGCAAUGAAGGAGUUCUUUGAGACCAGGACAGAGGCCUCCAGGUGUCACCACUUCGUCUCAACAUCGUCCACGAUCGCAGAGACAUGGUCCAUGAUCGGAGAGGCAUUGUUGAGGAUGAGGGAGACAUCGUCCACGAUCAGAGACAUUGUCCACGAUCGCAGAGACCUUGUCAAAGACGAGAGAGACGUUGUCCAUGAUCAGAGACAUUGUCCCAUGCUUCGCAGAGCUCUGCGCAAGAGUCGGUAGUGACACUGUGGUUCCUCGAUUCGACGGCAUGACCGCGAUCAUGGAAACAUUUGUCAAUGAUCACAGAGACACCGUCUAUGAUCUCAGAGACAUCGUCCACGAUCAUAAAGACAUUGUCCAUGAUCACAGAGACUUUGUCCAUAAUCUCAGAGACAUUGUCCGCGGUCACAGAGACGUAGUCCACGAUCACAGAGAGUGUUCGUACAAUGAAGGAGUUCUUUGAGACCAGGACAGAGGCCUCCAGGUGUCACCACUUCGUCUCAACAUCGUCCACGAUCGCAGAGACAUGGUCCAUGAUCGGAGAGGCAUUGUUGAGGAUGAGGGAGACAUCGUCCACGAUCAGAGACAUUGUCCACGAUCGCAGAGACCUUGUCAAAGACGAGAGAGACGUUGUCCAUGAUCAGAGACAUUGUCCCAUGCUUCGCAGAGCUCUGCGCAAGAGUCGGUAGUGACACUGUGGUUCCUCGAUUCGACGGCAUGACCGCGAUCAUGGAAACAUUUGUCAAUGAUCACAGAGACACCGUCUAUGAUCUCAGAGACAUCGUCCACGAUCAUAAAGACAUUGUCCAUGAUCACAGAGACUUUGUCCAUAAUCUCAGAGACAUUGUCCGCGGUCACAGAGACGUAGUCCACGAUCACAGAGAGUGUUCGUACAAUGAAGGAGUUCUUUGAGACCAGGACAGAGGCCUCCAGGUGUCACCACUUCGUCCACAUAUCGUCCACGAUUGCAGAGACAUGGUCCACGAUCGGAGAGACAUUGUUGAGGAUGAGGGAGACAUUGUCCACGAUCAGAGACAUUGUCCACGAUCGCAGAGACCUUGUCAAAGACGAGAGAGACGUUGUCCAUGAUCAGAGACAUUGUCCCAUGCUUCGCAGAGCUCUGCGCAAGAGUCGGUAGUGACACUGUGGUUCCUCGAUUCGACGGCAUGACCGCGAUCAUGGAAACAUUUGUCAAUGAUCACAGAGACACCGUCUAUGAUCUCAGAGACAUCGUCCACGAUCCCAAAGACAUUGCCCAUGGUCGCAGAGACAUUGUCCAUAAUCUCAGAGACAUUGUCCGCGGUCACAGAGACGUAGUCCACAAUCGCUGAGAUGUCGUCCACGAUCGCAGAGACAUGGUCCACGAUCGGAGAGACAUUGUUGAGGAUGAGGGAGACAUUGUUCACGAUCAGAGACAUUGUCCAUGACUCGUGGUGACUUGGUCCCCGAUAAGUCGGCACUGCUGGCGUUCAUAGAGACAUUGUCGACGAUCGCAGAGACAUUGUCCAUAAUCUCAGAGACAUUGUCCGCGAUCACAGAGACGUAGUCCACGAUCACAGAGUCUUUGUGCAAUGAAGGAGUUCUUUGAGACCAGGACAGAGGCCUCCAGGUGUCACCACUUCGUCUCAACAUCGUCCACAAUCGCAGAGACAUGGUCCAUGAUCGGAGAGGCAUUGUUGAGGAUGAGGGAGACAUCGUCCACGAUCAGAGACAUUGUCCACGAU